GGCUUGACUGAGAAGUAGAGCAAACCGCUUUUUCGGUGGUACAGCUCAACAAUAAUGCUGUAACACGCGUGAUAUGAUGCCACCAAUAAUUACCCAUCAAUUCACGAAUGACCCAUUGAAAAUUUUCUUCAAUUAGAAGAAUGUAGUUCCAUACGAUAACGGGUGAAAAUUUGUGGCAACAGACACUUGAAGCUAAGUAAAGGAAAGCAAGCUGACUCCACCCAGGUGGAAGACAUGGCCCUACAGUGGAGAUACCACCAAACUGGAAAAGAAUAAAAAUGUAAAGCAAACUCUGCAUGCCUCACCAAGGACUGCUCAAGUUAAUUGGUCAAGGAGAAUGCAGUUGCUUGCCCUAUUCAAAUAGGGUUAGGAUCCUCCGUAGCGAGCAUUGCACUGAUUUGGGUUUCUAAAUAUCUCAAA